CGAAUCUCUGACGAGGGAUAUGAUAGCUUUGACGUCUGUCUCGUUUGCAAGAUGGAGUUGUGCGCGUAGUGGAAUCCUACUCCAGACUUCCUUUGCGAAUGGGAAAUGAAAAAACAUAUGUAGUGGAGAUUCAAGUUGCUUGCAGCGUGGACAAGGAGCAGCUGAGACCAUUCCUCGACGUUGAAGUUCCGACCCCACCGGGGCGUUGGUGUUAAUGAUUGUUCCAGCUGGUGGGUGCGGGGGAAGAUCACUCUGUGUCAGAGCUUUAUAGCCAGACUUGGUGGUGUAGAUACCUGACUGGAGGGGCAGCCAAAUAUAGGAGUCGUCAGCUCCUUCCUUACUUGGUUUGAUGCAGCGGAUUUGAGUAGUAAGCUCAGGUUCUCUUUGAGCAAGUCUCGACCAUGAAGAAUGCUUCUCCAGCCGUGAGAGCAGACUGAAGGGACAAGAGCAUCGAGAAAAGCCUUCUUGUGGCAGUACUUUCCGGUGAGGACGCGAGCUAGGAGGCAACCAGGUGAGAUUUAUCCCACCAUAAGCGAGUGAGACAAGAUUGUAUCCUCUUGCAGAGGCUUCCUGGCAAUUGAAAGCAAGACAUAGCAUAGGUGGGGAUAGCUGUUAGAACCGCUUUCAUCAUCGUGAGCUUCCCUGCUCUUGAUAAGAAUCGAGUAGACCAGUUAGCAGCUCGUUGACGGAUCCUAUCGACUAUAGAGGUAAAUAAAUCUUUCUUCUUUCUCCCAAAGUGUUCGGGGAGGCCUAAGUACUUCCCCACUCCUCCUUCUUUCUGUAUUCCCAAUAUAUCUUUUGCAA